UACGGGGGGGGCAAGCGUUGUUCGGAAUUACUGGGCGUAAAGGGCUCGUAGGUGGCCAACUAAGUCAGACGUGAAAUCCCUCAGCUUAACUGGGGAACUGCGUCUGAUACUGGAUGGCUUGAGUUUGGGAGAGGGAUGCGGAAUUCCAGGUGUAGCGGUGAAAUGCGUAGAUAUCUGGAGGAACACCGGUGGCGAAGGCGGCAUCCUGGACCAACACUGACACUGAGGAGCGAAGGUCAGGGGAGCAAACGGG
rnacentral:rRNA from 1 species